rnacentral:lncRNA from 1 species
GAGCGCGGACCUGUUUCUCCCCAUAGAGAGAGAGAGGAGCGCGGACCUGUUCUCCCCAUAGAGAGAGAGGAGCGCGGACCUGUUCUCCCCAUAGAGAGAGAGAGAGAGGAGCAAGGACCUGUUUCUCCCCAUAAAUAGAGAGAGAGGAGCGCGGACCUGUCUCCCCAUAGAGAGAGAGAGGGACCUGUUCUCCCCAUAGAGAGAGAGAGAGGACCUGUUCUCCCCAUAGAGAGAGGAGCAAGGACCUGUUCUCCACAUAGAGACAGAGAGAGAGGAGCAAGGACCUUUGUUCUCCCCAUAAGAGAGAGGAGCAUGGCCUGUUCUCCCCAUAGAGAGAGAGAGAGAGGAGCAAGGACCUGUUCUAAAGAGAGAGAGGAGAAGAGAGGAUCAAGGACCUGUUCUCCUCAUAGAGAGAGAGAGAGAGAGGAGCAAGGACCUGUUUCUCCCAUAGAGAGAGAGAGAAGCAAGGACCCUGUUCUCCCCAUAGAGA